GAGGCUCGGGGAGAGGACGGGAGCCGCGGGACCGGUUUUCCGAGAAGCCUAAGGGAAACCACCAAGGCAGAAACUCCAAUAUUGCCCAACUCAAGUUUAGUGGCAAGAACAACAAGCUUCUGAGAGUUGUCUUUAAAACGGCAAUUGAUAAGGAAAAGUUGUUCUACCUCUGAAUUCCAAGGGAGAUGAACUGAGCCUUCCACGAAUAAUGAGAAAAGUUGUGCCAUUUCCAAUAAAAGACUGGCCUCUGCACAAGGUGCUCUGCAUACAGUAAGCAUUUAAUAAAUACAACUGAGUGAAUGAAUAGUCUGUCUUCUCAAUGAUCCGGUCUCCCGCCAGAGCACCAACUGUGAAAUGG